rnacentral:rRNA from 1 species
GAUGAACGCUGGCGGCGUGCCUAAUACAUGCAAGUCGAGCGAACAGACGAGGAGCUUGCUCCUCUGACGUUAGCGGCGGACGGGUGAGUAACACGUGGAUAACCUACCUAUAAGACUGGGAUAACUUCGGGAAACCGGAGCUAAUACCGGAUAAUAUAUUGAACCGCAGGGUUCAAUAGUGAAAGACGGUUUUGCUGUCACUUAUAGAUGGAUCCGCGCCGCAUUAGCUAGUUGGUAAGGUAACGGCUUACCAAGGCAACGAUGCGUAGCCGACCUGAGAGGGUGAUCGGCCACACUGGAACUGAGACACGGUCCAGACUCCUACGGGAGGCAGCAGUAGGGAAUCUUCCGCAAUGGGCGAAAGCUUGACGGAGCAACGCCGAGUGAGUGAUGAAGGUCUUCGGAUCGUAAAACUCUGUUAUUAGGGAAGAACAAAUGUGUAAGUAACUAUGCACGUCUUGACGGUACCUAAUCAGAAAGCCACGGCUAACUACGUG